UUUCAGAAGUGCUGAAGUGCUUUGGGUGAUCUUUAAGCACAGCACAGCUACACCAAAGAUCAUUUUGUGUAGCCCGAGAGAAGUUACCGGCACACCAGAACUCCCAGCCGCUGGCCUUCACCAUUCAAGCGACUAUAUUUAGUACUGACACCAACAACAGCGAGAGGCAGAGCGUUCGCCGCCAGUUACUAAAUGAUUGAGCAAACACACUGACACUAAUUCAACUUCCUACAAAACGAACAGAAGUGAAAGCGUAGGGAUUCUGCAUUUCAGUUUCAGAGACAGGAUGUCACAUGUGAAAGAAAUCCUAUUUAAAUCGAGGAGUGAGCGAGCACAACUUACAAACUCAGGUCUGACUUUUACACCGUCUACUGUCACCAUCAGCCUUGAGUGCACCGAUGAAAUUCUGUUCAGUAGGACACUCUGACCGAGUCGCGGACCUCACAGUCGUAUUACUACAUGACACCACAUCCCCGGUGCAGCGCUGAUCAGACUGUACAACGUGUCUCACGCUUCUGACAAACUAGCUUUUAUUGUAUUGCAGCCUAUUCGCUUUUUAUUAAUUGAUUUUAUUUCUGUAAUCAAACUCGUCAUUACUCAGAUUUUCUCGCGAGCCUUGAUGUCUUUGCUUUUUUUUCCCGGUGUGGGUCAUUUUAAAAGUUUAGAAAAGUGAAUGAAAUGAAUGAACGUAUAUGUGGAAUUAAAACGGGGACGCACUGUUUCUGCUAUUUUCAACAGUAAAA